UCGAAGCAGAGAGGUCGGCCGGGUGCGUGGCUAAGGAGAGGAGGAAGGUCGCGCUUCCACCAGCGCCUGGUCGCGAGUCUGGGCACUACAUCGGGCUUCGCCGCCGGCCUGAGCGAGGUGAGCCGGGAAAUGUUCGGUGCCUGGCGUCCUUGGGGCGAAAAGGAUGGCAGCCUGUAAAAUGAACCAUAUAUCCAUGGAGAAAAUAUGGGAAUGCUUACUAAAAUUAAAGAUUUCUCUUGGUCUCCUGUUCCUUCAUUUGAUUUUGGCUUCUGGCAGAGAUUUGUCUUCAUUUGGAACUGUGGAUACUGCAGAAACAACAAAUAUAAUGGAACUUGACUUUUCAAAAAUAGAUGG